GCUAAAUCGCUUAUACCGGUGUACUGGAAAAAAUCGAACGUCCCCACAUGGGAGGAAUGGAUCCACAGAGUUGAGGACAUUAGGGCGGCUGAAGCACUCCAGGUGGAACUGGCGGGUAGAGGAGCAAAAUGCGCAGAGACAUGGACACCGUGGUUCACCUUCCGUGCAGGUGCAUAGGGGGGAGCCGGUGGCUGGUUGGGAACCGGGAGACGGCGCAGCCCACACAGCAGAACCAUACCCUACGCUACAACUCAAACACCCUCCUACACUAGCAUACACAGGCACCACACCGAACAUCCCGAACAUAUCUCCUGCUUAGGCAGGGGAACACCACAGAUGACAACAGACGAAGGGAAAAGCGGCAAAGAAACGUACAUAAAAGAUCAACCGGAACACGGCUACACGCCAACAUACACAACAGGCCACGAUCCAACGAACAACCGAUGGAUGUUGACCUGACUAAUCCCACAUGACAACCUAACCACUACAACAUAAGACAGUAACAGCUAACUAAGAUCCCGAGGGAAACCCAUAACACAACACUAGAGGAGUGACUCUGGGUUAACUGGCUACUAGCCACGAUAAUUCCAUAUACCUGACACACGCACAGCAAAAUAUCACUCCCCUUAAAAGGAAUCUCGGAAAACUCACACUCCCUGUCCCCACCGACAUACGCAACAUAAUAAAUAACCUCCAUCGCACGUUACUCUCUAAACACUACAUCCCAACGUAAUGUAGGCCAGCCAGGGAAACAAACCCAAACUUAGAUGAAUCAUACGAGACACGGGGGACAAUACCCAAAGGAGGAAGGGAGACUCCUCACCACAGCGGCCCCAAAGAUAACCCUCCUUGGCUCUAUCACAUUACGUGAUACGAACGCACCGAGGACCGGAACACACAUAUGGAAAACCACACAACAGGGGGGGAUACUUAACGCAAUAUAAUUUCACUUUCGAUAACCCACACUAUCGUCUCCCGACUCCACUUGUACCAAAUGUUCCACUCGAAACUAACAUACUACCCCUACUUAGGCAAAUGACCCUUUUAUCCUAUCACACACCCCAAUACAUCUCACCACACUUUUGCACUUACCGACAAACUUUAACAAAGAUUAACGCCUGUAUAUGUGCAACUUCAAGGCACUGACAGACACUAAUACAACCACACUUGAUCUCACUUAUGAAG